AGGUAAGUGGACAGUAAAGGUUUUUAUGUUAAUAAACGAGUUCGUUAUAAAUUAUGCUCCAUUGGUCAUUUUUAUUUUUUACCCACCUUUACUUCCGUGACGGUGAGAUAGUGUGAUGUCUUUACUGGGCUGGUGUAGCUCAUCCCUUAUUUAACCAUUUCAGAUCAGGAAGACGUUGUUCCCGAGCCCGUUCCGCAGGAAGACGGCGAAGGGGACGCCUAAAUACUUUAUAGCUAUAUUUAUAGUUUUUAUUUCGAGUAUCUUUUUUAGUUAGUUUGUUCCUUCAUGUUUUGAGUACGUUUUGGUUAUUGUGUAAGGGAUGUUAAUCAAAAUUUUUAUUACGCUUCCGCAUUUGAGAUUUUUAAUACAUAUAUUCCAUUUAAAUUUCCGGGGCCGUUACAGUAAAGGGUUGAGAUCUUAAAGAAAAUGAAUUUAUAAUUUAAAUGCGUAUGCG
rnacentral:lncRNA from 1 species